rnacentral:rRNA from 1 species
CACGCCGUAAACGAUGAGUGCUAGGUGCUGUGGGUAUUGACCCCCGCGGUGCCGCAGCUAACGCGUUAAGCACUCCGCCUGGGGAGUACGGCCGCAAGGCUAAAACUCAAAGGAAUUGACGGGGGCCCGCACAAGCGGUGGAGCAUGUGGUUCAAUUCGACGCAACGCGCAGAACCUUACCUGGGUUAAAUCCAUUCAAAGCUGCCAGAGAUGGCGGGGUGCCCUUCGGGGAAUGAAUGAGAAGGUGC